rnacentral:rRNA from 1 species
UACGAAGGGGGCUAGCGUUGCUCGGAAUCACUGGGCGUAAAGGGCGCGUAGGCGGACUGUCAGUCGGGGGUGAAAUCCCAGGGCUCAACCCUGGAACGGCCUUCGAUACUGCCGGUCUUGAGUCUGAGAGAGGUUGGUGGAACUCCGAGUGUAGAGGUGAAAUUCGUAGAUAUUCGGAAGAACACCAGUGGCGAAGGCGGCCAACUGGCUCAGAACUGACGCUGAGGCGCGAAAAGCG